GUCAGGCGUGGUGGUGCACGCCUGCAAUCCCAGUGGCUUGGGAGGCUGAGGCAAGAGGACUGAGAGUUCAAAGCCAGCCUCAGCAACUUAGCAAGACCCUAAGCAACUCAGUGAGACCCUGUCUCUA
rnacentral:sRNA from 1 species